ACAUCGGUGGUGAAGUGGUUAUCAUGCUUGCCUUCCAGUUGGGAUGUUCAAUCCUGUCUCAGCAAGCGGCAGGGGUUCGAUUCCCCUCCGAUGUA